ACAACUCAUGCCUCUUGUCCUGGCCUGUUCCUCCAGUCUCUACAGCUGUCACUGAAGUUCAAUCUCCAUUAACAAGUUGUGUUUGUGCUCCCAUGCUCCUGUAUUUAUAAUCAUCUGGCAGAGGCAUAAUAGAUCAGAGGUUAAGAAGCACAGCCUUUGGCAUUAGAAAAACCAAGAUUCAAGGUUCAAUCCUGCUACAUAAAAGCUGUGUAACUUCAGCUCCUGCCCAAGGCCUUGUUACCUCAUGCCUGAGUUAUCUUCAUUCUAUAUCAACUCUAAGAACCCCUGACCA